GAUGAACGCUGGCGGCGUGCCUAAUACAUGCAAGUCGAGCGAACAGACGAGGAGCUUGCUCCUCUGACGUUAGCGGCGGACGGGUGAGUAACACGUGGAUAACCUACCUAUAAGACUGGGAUAACUUCGGGAAACCGGAGCUAAUACCGGAUAAUAUAUUGAACCGCAUGGUUCAAUAGUGAAAGACGGUUUUGCUGUCACUUAUAGAUGGAUCCGCGCCGCAUUAGCUAGUUGGUAAGGUAACGGCUUACCAAGGCAACGAUGCGUAGCCGACCUGAGAGGGUGAUCGGCCACCUUGGAACUGAGACACGGUCCAUACUCCUACGGGAGGCAGCAGUAGGGAAUCUUCCGCAAUGGGCGAAAGCCUGACGGAGCAACGCCGCGUGAGUGAUGAAGGUCUUCGGAUCGUAAAACUCUGUUAUUAGGGAAGAACAAAUGUGUAAGUAACUAUGCACGUCUUGACGGUACCUAAUCAGAAAGCCACGGCUAACUACGUG
rnacentral:rRNA from 1 species